UGCCCGCAGCACAAGUGGUGGUCAUUAUUAUUGGGCCUAAAGCGUCCGUAGCUGGCUUGUUAGAUGCCUGGGUAAAUCGAUGCGCUCAACGUAUCGAACACCGGGUAGACCGGCAAGCUUGGGACCGGGAGAGACGUGAGCUACUCGAGGGGUAGGGGUAAAAUCCUGUAAUCCUUCGGGGAGGACCAGUGGCGAAGGCGUCACGUUAGAACGGCUCCGACAGUGAGGGACGAAGCCCUGGGGCGCAAACCGG
rnacentral:rRNA from 1 species